CCUACGGGUGGCAGCAGUGAGGAAUAUUGGUCAAUGGGCGGGAGCCUGAACCAGCCAAGCCGCGUGAGGGAAGAAGGUACAGCGUAUCGUAAACCUCUUUUGUCAGGGAACAAAGGCGGGGACUAGUCCCCGGAUGAGGGUACCUGAAGAAAAAGCAUCGGCAAACUCCGUGCCAGCAGCCGCGGUAAUACGGAGGAUGCGAGCGUUAUCCGGUUCUAUUGGGUUUAAAGGGUGCGCAGGCGGCCUGUUAAGUCAGCGGGAAAAGCCCGGGGCUCAACCCCGGCGAGCCGUUGCAACUGGCGGGCUGGAGUUGGAGAGAAGUACGCGGAAUGCGCGGUGUAGCGGUGAAAUGCUUAGAUAUCGCGCAGAACCCCGAUUGCGAAGGCAGCGUACCGGCUACACACUGACGCUGAGGCACGAAAGCGUGGGUAUCGAACAGGAUUAGAUACCCCAGUAGUC
rnacentral:rRNA from 1 species